rnacentral:rRNA from 1 species
CGGUGAAUACGUUCCCGGGCCUUGUACACACCGCCCGUCAAGCCAUGGAAGUUGGGGUACCUAAAGUCGGCCACCGCAAGGAGCUGCCUAGGGUAAAACCAAUGACUGGGGCU